UAUGUCGUGAAAGAAUGAGAAUGAUAAAUGAGCAAAGUUGAAUUACUGAGUCUAAUAAGAAUGAACUGGCCAAGCCCUCCAGUGCGGGUGGGAGCAUGAGGCCAGGUGCCUGUGCUGACAAAGGGGUUCUUGCAAACAGUUUACUGACUGGCCAGUGCACGGAAAGGGCCAAGCUCAGCACCAGACACUCAAGCCUCCUUACCACCACCAUCCCCCCUCGCCCGGGUGAAGCAGGCAGUGACCCCUCGCCCAGGUGAAGCAGGCAGUGACCCCUCGCCCAGGUGAAGCAGGCAGUGACCCCUCGCCCAGGUGAAGCAGGCAGUGACCCCGAUAACGUGCGUUCAGCGGAUUCACGUUGUCUGGCAAUUUCAGCUCUACUUAUCUUGUUAAACAUAAUUCAAUUUUUUUAAAAUAAAGAGGCUAUAUAAAACCACGAGCUUUGAGUCACAAGCCCUG